GGGAUAUUAGCUCAGUUGGUAGAGCGUUUGACUGUUAAUCAAAAUGUCACAGGUUCGAGUCCUGUAUAUCCCG
rnacentral:tRNA from 1 species